rnacentral:rRNA from 1 species
UACGUAGGGUGCGAGCGUUAAUCGGAAUUACUGGGCGUAAAGCGUGCGCAGGCGGUUCGCCAAGUCAGGUGUGAAAUCCCCGGGCUUAACCUGGGAAUUGCGCUUGAAACUAGCGGGCUUGAGUGUGGCAGAGGGGGGUGGAAUUCCACGUGUAGCAGCGAAAUGCGUAGAGAUGUGGAGGAACACCGAUGGCGAAGGCAGCCCCCUGGGUCAACACUGACGCUCAUGCACGAAAGCGUGGGGAGCAAACAGG